GAUAAACGCUGGCGGCGCACAUAAGACAUGCAAGUCGAACGAACUUAAUUGAGAGCUUGCUCUCAAAGCGGUUAGUGGCGGACUGGUGAGUAACACGUAAGCAACCUGCCUAUUAGAGGGGAAUAACAGCGAGAAAUCGUUGCUAAUACCGCAUAUGCUGUGAGUAUCGCAUGAUACAAGCAGGAAAGGAGCAAUCCGCUAAUAGAUGGGCUUGCGUCUGAUUAGUUAGUUGGUGGGGUAACGGCCUACCAAGACGAUGAUCAGUAGCCGGACUGAGAGGUUGAACGGCCACAUUGGGACUGAGAUACGGCCCAGACUCCUACGGGAGGCAGCAGUCGGGAAUAUUGCGCAAUGGAGGAAACUCUGACGCAGUGACGCCGCGUGCAGGAAGAAGGUUUUCGGAUUGUAAACUGCUUUUAACAGGAAAGAAAAAAUGACGGUACCUGUGAAUAAGCUCC
rnacentral:rRNA from 1 species